rnacentral:rRNA from 1 species
ACGAACGCUGGCGGCAUGCCUAACACAUGCAAGUCGAGCGAGACCUUCGGGUCUAGUGGCGCACGGGUGCGUAACGCGUGGGAACCUGCCUUUAGGUUCGGAAUAACUCAGAGAAAUUUGAGCUAAUACCGGAUGAUGUCUUCGGACCAAAGAUUUAUCGCCUUUAGAUGGGCCCGCGUUGGAUUAGCUAGUUGGUGGGGUAAAGGCCUACCAAGGCGACGAUCCAUAGCUGGUCUGAGAGGAUGAUCAGCCACACUGGGACUGAGACACGGCCCAGACUCCUACGGGAGGCAGCAGUGGGGAAUAUUGGACAAUGGGCGAAAGCCUGAUCCAGCAAUGCCGCGUGAGUGAUGAAGGCCUUAGGGUUGUAAAGCUCUUUUACCCGAGAUGAUAAUGACAGUAUCGGGAGAAUAAGCUCCGGCUAACUCCGUG